rnacentral:rRNA from 1 species
UCGGGAAUAUUGCACAAUGGAGGAAACUCUGAUGCAGUGACGCCGCGUGUAGGAAGAAGGUUUUCGGAUUGUAAACUACUUUAGACAGGGAAGAAUAAUGACAGUACCUGUAGAAUAAGCUCCGGCUAACUACGUGCCAGCAGCCGCGGUAAUACGUAGGGAGCGAGCGUUAUCCGGAUUUAUUGGGGGUAAAGGGUGCGUAGACGGGAGUCUAAGUUAGUUGUGAAAUCCCUCGGCUUAACUGAGGAACUGCAACUAAAACUGGAUUUCUUGAGUGCAGGAGAGGAAAGUGGAAUUCCUAGUGUAGCGGUGAAAUGCGUAGAUAUUACGCAGAACUCCAAUUGCGAAGGCAGCUUGCUAAACUAUAACUGACACUGAGGCACGAAAGCGUGGGUAUCAAACA